GAAAUUAGGAGGCGCAGCAAAACUGAGCAUCGAAUUUCUUCUGCAGAUCCAUUGGAAGGUGGGUUUUGGAGACAUAUUUCUCAUUUUUGCACUUCAAAAACCAUAUCCUGCUCAUAUUUGAUGGUUAGGGUUUUCAAAUUUUCUUGUCCUUUUUUUGUUUUUUGUUUUCGUUAUAAAUUGAAUUGGGCAUUUCAUGGGUGUGGAUAAUUUUGCAAAAAAAAACCUUUUACUUCUUCGAUCCCAUUGUCGCUCUGCAUCAAUGCCUUCUACAAUGGAUGAGAUUGACCGUUCGAAAUAAGAAAUUGAUGAACGGAAUUGACGAUUUCUGAUUGUUCAGUUGCACCUCGUUCCAUUUUUAUCAUUCAUCUUGCUGCAGUGCGCUUCUAACAUUGGAUGCUAUAGUUAAUCACGUUUGGUUAUAUUCAUUAGAGAUAGAGGCGGAUCCACAUAGGCAUAAGGGUGGGCAGAAGCAAAUCCGAAUUUUCGAUUUUUUUUUUUGAAAUAUAUAGAUAUAUGGGUGUGGAUAAUUUUAAACAUUUCGAUACUGCUUAUUUCUUGUGUGAGGUAAAGUAUGUCUGAUUGUGAAAGAGUAUUUCCAUUUUGUGCAGUUUCUUUCCAUUUUAUUUUUUCCUUCAAAUAAUUGCAGAUUCGAUCUGUCGUCGUUCAUCGCAGGUGAAUAUAUUGGAUUGAUUUGGCCAUCUCCACUCUGAUUGAAACGAGGUAUAAGGGAAUUCGUGAAUUGAAACUCCUAUUUCUAAGCAGGACGUGUUUAAAAUGGUGUUUGCUGUUUUGUGCAUUUUUCUUACUUUAUAGCCGCUGAUUGCGUAUAUGUAUAUAUAUAUAUAUAUGUCUGUCUACAUAAGAAUUUGGGGCCUGUUGUUUAGCUGGAUUCUGAGAUGUGUGUUUUCUG
rnacentral:lncRNA from 1 species